CAAAAAAAACAAAACAACAACGACGACGACGACGACGACAACAGAACAACACCAAACAAACAAAAUCAGAGGCAGGGUUCACCCUUAAACCACGAGAUACAACAAAAGUCAUAGACUCAACCAGCGACGCACUCAGAGAGCACCUAGCCCUCUGAAAUCAAAUACAUUCUGGGUUACAACCAGCAGCUGCUGACACUACUUGAAGUGGCCAAUGAUGGCAAAUGGAGAGAGUGUGAUGUCAGACUGUUCAGAACUUGCCUUACUGGUUGGUGAUUGGUGAGUGAUGGUGAUUGCCUCAAACAACUGGCCUGUUUGUGUACUUUUAGAGGAAAGAGCAAUACUGUAGUGCAUACUCCGUCUCACCAUUACUUUUUCAUCAUAACAGAAAUCAAACGUUGAAGUUUUGGUUAUCUGUCAGUUUUUGCCGGAUGCUGUGCAUCUAAGUGGUGUUUGCCCAGGGUAAGAUGACUAUCCUGAGAUUGACAAUGUUAGAAUGUACUACCUCUAUGCUUUAUCGAUUUCAUUGGUAAUGUGCAGAGACAUAAAAAAAUUGCCUCUUAAUUGAAUCCAUGAUAGCAAAAUCAUGCUUUCAGUGCGUCGAAUUAUACCAUCCUUGGUUUCCAUAUCAGUCAAGAAUUCCAGUAGCCUAUGUGUUCAUAGUCCUCAAUCAGUGGUAGCUAAAUUCAUUCAUGGUUGUACAGAAGCAAACAUUGAUACCGUAGUCAAUUCCAUAUGUGGUUCAUUCAGGAAGGGCUGUAAUUGGGAGAUUCUGACUCAAAAUUUUGAUUCUGUUCACUUAAAUGAUUUGAUUGUUGAGAAGGUACUGCUGGAAUUAAAGGAACCAACUGAUGCAAAACGGGCUCUAGCUUUCUUCCAUUGGUCAGCACAAAGGAAAAAUUUUGAACAUGGGAAUUGGUCUUACUGUAUCACAAUUCAUAUUUUGGUUGAAGCACGACUGCUUACGGAUGCUCGAGCAUUGCUUGAAUCAGUUUUGAAAAAAAAUGCAGGGAGCCAUUUGAGAUUUUCAGUUGUGGAUUCUCUACUUAGCAGUUACAAGAUUACAGUUUCAACUCCAUUUGUGUUUGAUUUGUUAGUACAGGCUUAUGCUAAACUCUGAAUGUUUAAGAUUGCUUUUGAUGUCUGCCGCUAUUUGGAAGAACAUGGCUUCUCUUCAAGUCUUAUAAGUUUCAAUACUUUAAUUCACGUUGUUCAAAAAUCUGAUCAAGUCCCUCUAGUUUGGAAGAUUUAUGAGCAUAUGAUUCAAAAUAGAACGUAUCCAAAUGAAGUAACAAUCCAAACAAUGAUAAGUGCAUUGUGCAAGGAAGGGCAUUUGCAGAAAUAUGUCGACAUAUUGGACCAGAUUCAUGGUAAGAGAUGCUCUCCUUCAGUAAUUGUUAAUACCAGUUUGAUCUUAAAGAUUUUAGAGGAGGGAAGAAUUGAAGAUGGUAUGGUAUUAUUGAAGAGAGUGUUGCAAAAGAGUAUGAUUCUUGAUACAAUUGCUUAUUCACUAAUUAUUCAUGCUAAAGUAAAACUUGGGAAUUUGGAGUCAGCGUGGAAAGUGUAUGAAGAAAUGCUAAAUAGAGGUUUCCAAGCAAAUCCUUACAUCUAUACUUUGUUUAUAGGAGUCCAUUGUAAAGAGGGAAGAAUAGCAGAAGCACAUUGCCUAAUGAAGGAGAUGGAAGAUCUGGGUUUGAAGUCGUAUAGUGAAUGUUUUGAUCUUCUCAUUGAGGGGUGUGCUAAAGCAGGAAAAUUGGAAGAGAGUUUAAUGAAUUGUGAGAAAAUGUUGGAGAGGAGACUUGUUCCUGGUUGUUGGGCUUUCAAUGAGAUGGUAGGAAAGCUCAGUGAAAAUGGGAAUGUGGAGCAAGCCAAUGCAAUGUUAACUAUUUUGUUAGAUAAAGGAUUCCUGCCUGACGAGAUUACAUAUUCUCAUCUGAUUGAGCGUUAUAGCAAAAAAGGUGAGUUUCAUGAAGUUGUCAAACUCUACUAUGAAAUUGAAAACAGAUCACUGUCUCCUGGAUUAUUGGUCUAUAUGUCAAUGAUUAGGAGCCUUUGCCUGUCUGGGAAAGUGGAGGAAGCAGAAAAAUAUUUGAGGAUUAUGAAAGAACGUUCACUGGCCCCAACUACGUGCAUUUACGAGACAUUGAUUGCAAGCCACUCUAAAAAAGGUGAUAGAACAAGGGCUCUUCACCUUCAGGAUGAAAUGUUUUCACAAGGACUGAAGCCUAGUUGUUCGUAGCUUUCUGGUUAAAGUGCAGAGAACAUUGAAGACUAGUGUCCACUCAGGAUAAAGAGUAACUCCUAUUAACUUUAAAAAGCUUGCUCUAGCUAUUCUUAAACUAUACUGCUGACCUGGAUCCGAAUUGCACAAGCUCAAGUUGUUCAUGUAAGUACUACAGGUGGAAAGGAUCCCAUUAACAAAGAGAACGCUAAUAAACACAGGAAGGAUGGUUUUGGCAGUACCUGAUUGGACUUGUGCUGGCCACACACAAAUAGAUGAUUCUUGAGUCCAGAUAGGUGCUGAUCAUCUUAUAACUUUUUUCUCUUUUCUAGGAUCUCUAUGUCCAUGUAAUUCCUUGAUCAUAAUUUAGUGAAUUCAGUUUUGCAAGGCAAUGGAUCUUAUAAUCUAUUGGUGCUAAUCAUGCAAUUUGAUACUAAGAAAUGGUGAUCCUAUACUAAUUGAUUCAGUGGCCUGAAAAAGAAGAAGAAAUAAAACACGCUUUGGUUAUAUGUUUUUGUUAAUGCAGAAGUUUU